AGAUGAACAAAGAAAAAAGGAUUUCAGCAAAGAGAAGACUUUAGCACAGAUCAGAGAUGAUUGUGUUAAAAGUCUUAAGGAUCUUGGAUUUGAGUCUCCACAGGUCUUCCUGGUGUCCAACCACGACAUCCAUCUGUAUGAUUUCCCUCACCUACGAGAGACCUUAGAGAGGGAUCUCCCUGAACACAAGAGAGACGCUCUGCUGUUAUCCUCACCCUACAUAUUCCCAGAGUACAUAAAAAAAAAGAAAAAUGUUUCUCCAGCAUCAAAUAUGGGCUCUUGCUGCUCUACAAUGUAAAACAAACUCUUCUUGUCAACACUAGAUUUCAAGUGAAUAUAACUUAAUUCUUAUCAACUUGUUGUUUCUGUUCAUCUUAAAUAGGUCCCAUGCAUAUUUUAGUAAACCUUAAUAAAUCUCAAAAUAAAUACACUUUAUUGUACUUGUGUGAGGAUUCUACACAGACCAGCCAGAGAGACGCUGAAUGGAUUCCAAAAAUAUUCUUAAUUUAUUACAAAAA